CUACGGGUUGCUCCAGUGGGGAAUAUUGCACAAUGGAGGAAACUCUGAUGCAGCAACGCCGCAUGGAGGAUGACACUUUUCGGAGCGUAAACUCCUUUUAUAUAGGAAGAAGAUGACGGUACUAUAUGAAUAAGCGCCGGCCAACUCCGUGCCAGCAGCCGCGGUAAUACGGAGGGCGCAAGCGUUACUCGGAAUCACUGGUCGUAAAGAGCGUGUAGGCGGAUUAAAAAGUCAGAAGUGAAAUCCUAUAGCUUAACUAUAGAACUGCUUCUGAAACUCUUAAUCUAGAAUAUGGGAGAGGUAGAUGGAAUUUCUGGUGUAGGGGUAAAAUCCGUAGAGAUCAGAAGGAAUACCGAUUGCGAAGGCGAUCUACUAGAACAUUAUUGACGCUGAGACGCAAAAGCGUGGGGAGCAAACAGGAUUAGAUACCCCCGUAGUC
rnacentral:rRNA from 1 species